AACCACAUAGUUCCGGGUUCAGUCCCACUGCGAAGGCACAUGGCCUAGUGGUUAGAGCAGCGGAUUCGUGGUCGAGGGAUCGCGGGUUCGAAUCUCAGACAGGGCGAUGUGUGUGUUUAUAAGCGAAUCACCUAAGCUCCAAGCGGCCCCGGCUGAAGGUUAUGGCGAACGUCUGCUGAUUCUUUUGCCACAACUUUCUCUCACUCUUUCCUCCUGCAUCUUGCAGCUCACUGCGACGGACCGUCGUCCCGUCCAGGUGGGGAACCUGUGCGCCAAGGAAACCGGGAAACCG